GGAUGUGAGGGCAAUCUGGCUGCGACAUCUGUCACCCCAUUGAUCGCCAGGGUUGAUUUGGCUGAUCUGGCUGGCUGGGCAGGUGUCCCCUUCCUCUCUCACCACUCCAUGUGCGUCCCUCCCGAAGCUGCGUGCUCAGUGGAAGAGGACGACCUUCCCCAACGGAGAGGACCAUUCUUCAGUCAAGGGUAUAUGAGUAGCUGCACUCCCCUACUAGAACCUCCAAACAAGCUCUCAGAAUAUUGAAUCAGUACAAUGAGAUCCUCUAAUAAUAAUUAAUUGGGGGUUCUUUUAUU
ensembl:misc_RNA 7SK 7SK RNA